AUGGCCCACAUAUCAGAUAUUAAACUGAUAAGAACAGAUACUACACUUGAUCUUAGCCAAAAGGCCGAGAAAGGUAUGAGUUGUGAUAUGUAG
rnacentral:rRNA from 1 species